GACGAACGCUGGCGGCGUGCCUAAUACAUGCAAGUAGAACGCACAGGAUGCACCGUAGUUUACUACACCGUAUUCUGUGAGUUGCGAACGGGUGAGUAACGCGUAGGUAACCUGCCUGGUAGCGGGGGAUAACUAUUGGAAACGAUAGCUAAUACCGCAUAAGAACAUUUACUGCAUGGUAGAUGUUUAAAAGGUGCAAAUGCAUCACUACCAGAUGGACCUGCGUUGUAUUAGCUAGUUGGUGAGGUAACGGCUCACCAAGGCAACGAUACAUAGCCGACCUGAGAGGGUGAUCGGCCACACUGGGACUGAGACACGGCCCAGACUCCUACGGGAGGCAGCAGUAGGGAAUCUUCGGCAAUGGGGGGAACCCUGACCGAGCAACGCCGCGUGAGUGAAGAAGGUUUUCGGAUCGUAAAGCUCUGUUGUUAAGGAAGAACGUGUGUGAGAGUGGAAAGUUCACACAGUGACGGUACUUAACCAGAAAGGGACGGCUAACUACGUGCCAGCAGCCGCGGUAAUACGUAGGUCCCGAGCGUUGUCCGGAUUUAUUGGGCGUAAAGCGAGCGCAGGCGGUUAGAUAAGUCUGAAGUGAAAGGCAGUGGCUCAACCAUUGUAGGCUUUGGAAACUGUUUAACUUGAGUGCAGAAGGGGAGAGUGGAAUUCCAUGUGUAGCGGUGAAAUGCGUAGAUAUAUGGAGGAACACCGGUGGCGAAAGCGGCUCUCUGGUCUGUAACUGACGCUGAGGCUCGGAAGCGUGGGGAGCGAACAGG
rnacentral:rRNA from 1 species